CGAUUGUUCAGUGUCCAAGUGUUUUCCAAGCUGCAAAACCGAAUCAAAGAAGGAGCUGCAUUGCCCGGUUUGAUAUACACCAUUUGAUAUGAAAUACAAGAUGAAAGUUACACACAAGUGAAUCGAUUCAAGAAAUCCAAGAAUCAUACACUAGAUUAACUGGAAAAACUUGUUGCGAAAAAUAAAGUAUUAUAAAUAUUAUCUGUAUUUCAUUUUUGACAAUAAAAUAUAUUUUUAGUUACCUUAUCUUACUUUAUUUCUACCUCACUAAAUCCUUUUUAGGUAGUGACUAAUGGAGGUAAAAGGUUAUCCGGAGAGAAAUCAACAACUCAUUGACAUAUAAUAUAUUAUUUCACAAUUAUAUUUAAGUGCCUACUUAUUAUAUUUUCUGUCAUACUGGUAACUUAGACAUAACUUGUUUAUUCCAACUAUUCUUUAUUGGGGUGAUCAUGAUAUAAAUCAUUAAUGAAACAUGCAUGGGCUGUUGAAAAACUGGUAUGGGGAAAACAAAUAAAAUCAAACUGAGGGCCGUUUCUUAUGACUGAAUUUAGAGCUAUUUAGGUAUGUUCGGUUUUGAAUGAUGAUUUAUAGGGACUGGGUAGGUUAAUAUGUAGGUAGGGUAUUGUGUAGUUAGAUUUAAAAAUAAUGGGUUCACACAUUCUCUAAAGUAUGUCCUGAUGCUCUAUUGCUAUUUAAGACCUAUGGAUUAUAUUUUUUACCAAUUUACUGGUAUGCUAUUUCCAAUACAUGGCUAGGGUUAUAUACAAUUUUUACAUUGUAAUUUAUUUAUAUGCAACUUCACUGUAUGACUGGUUGAACACAAGUAAAAUUCAGGUGACAGAA